AUACUCAAUUUGUCUAAUAAUAAACAUCAACAUUUUAAACCGAAACAUACUAUAUAUUUGUUUACGCCAUAAUACAUAAAGUCGUCUAUACAUGCCAUGUUUCCAAAAUAUGAGUUGCAAAAUACCCAAGCGUUGAUGAUAGUGUAGAUGAUUAUCUGACUCCGCCCAAGUUCCGAGUUGAUUGAUGUCACUCGGUGCAAA
rnacentral:lncRNA from 1 species